rnacentral:rRNA from 1 species
UACGGGAGGCAGCAGUGGGGAAUAUUGCACAAUGGGCGAGAGUCUGAACCAGCCAAGUAGCGUGAAGGAUGACUGCCCUAUGGGUUAUAAACUUCUUUUAUAAGGGAAUAAAGUGAGGGACGUGUCCCUUUUUGUAUGUACCUUAUGAAUAAGGAUCGGCUAACUCCGUGCCAGCAGCCGCGGUAAUACGGAGGAUCCAAGCGUUAUCCGGAUUUAUUGGGUUUAAAGGGAGCGUAGGUUGACAUAUAAGUCAGCUGUGAAAGUUUACGGCUCAACCGUGAAAUUGCAGUUGAUACUGUAUGUCUUGAGUGUACAAGAGGUGGGCGGAAUUCGUGGUGUAGCGGUGAAAUGCUUAGAUAUUAGGAGGAACACCAGUGGCGAAGGCGACUUUCUGGACUGUAACUGACGCUGAGGCACGAAAGCGUGGGGAGCAAACAGGAUUAGAUACCCUGGUAGUCCACGCUGUAAACGAUGGAUACUAGGUGUAGGGGGCGAUAGCUCUCUGUGCCGCAGCAAACGCAAUAAGUAUCCCGCCUGGGGAGUACGAUCGCAAGGUUGAAACUCAAAGGAAUUGACGG